UACGGAGGAUGCAAGCGUUAUCCAGAUUUAUUGGGUUUAAAGGGUGCGCAGGUUGUUUGAUAAGUCAGUGGUGAAAGUCUGUCGCUUAACGGUAGGAUUGCCAUUGAUACUGUUAGACUUGAAUAUGGAUGAGGUAGGCGGAAUGUGUAGUGUAGCGGUGAAAUGCAUAGAUAUUACACAGAACACCGAUUGCGAAGGCAGCUUACUAAUCCAUCAUUGACGCUGAGGCACGAAAGCGUGGGGAUCAAA
rnacentral:rRNA from 1 species